UUUCCAUUUUUGGUGGUUCAGU
rnacentral:snRNA from 1 species